rnacentral:lncRNA from 1 species
GGAUUCCCUUUGUUUCACUUGGGGGAAAAGCCACAGGCAUAGAAGAAAGAAACCAAAACAGAGAAUGAGAGAAGGAAGAAAGAAGGAAAAAAAUAGAGGAAAAGAAGGAAUAAGUGUUGGUUUUUCAACUUUCAUUCAUUAAUUCUCCUUAUUUUCAAGAGGUAAGUAUAAAUUAUGUUAAUUGAAUUAUGGAAAAUUUGCUUAAAUUUGAAGUUAGCAGGGUAGACUAUUUUGAAUUAUGGUUAUGGAAUUUAAUUUUAUGUGGGGUGCAUUUUAAAAUUAAAAAAAAAAACAUAAAUUGGUUAGUAGAUGGUAGAAAAAGAAAUAUUUAUUGAUGGGUGAUGAGAUUUAAGGAACCUGUUCUAUAGUUUUUUUUUUUUUUUUUUUUUGACUUGUGGGUUAGUGAAAAUAAAUGAUAAGGAUGUUAUAUAAGCACAAAUUAAGAUAAUUAAACUGAUGCUCUUAGCUAGAGAAAUUGAUUAGCAACCUGUCUAUAUUUAAAAUAUAUAGAUGGCAGUAGGUGAUGUGCAUGUUUGGGUCGAAGUUGUGAGAAACGAGAGAUAAAAGUGAAAUGGGUUUGAUGUUCUUGACUUUAAUCCUGGAUUAUGUGUUCAUAAUUUCCUAGUUAAAUAAUAUGGGUUUAUAUUGGUGUAAGGAUGAAUUUUUGCUUUAGACAGCUAGAUGGGGGGACUUUUAUGUGAACAAGUGGUUGUCUGGGUUCAAUAAAAUAAGAAUUUUGGACUUACCUUUUGGGCUUCUUUUUAAUUCAAACAAAGCUUUGUGAUGGGUUUUGGUUUCAAUAAAUCGAAUAUGAAACUUACUAAAUAUAUAGGUGUUUCCAGUGAUUGGUAGGGAAAUAAAGGAAACAAGUUGGACUUGAUAGAAGCUGUCCACUUGUUUAUGUUAUAUAUUUUUAGACAAGAACUACAAAAGAAAUAACGAAUAAGAAAUAGAGGAAUACAAGUAAGAUGAGUAUUUGGGAAUCCAAAACCAAUUUGAAUUAAUACAAUUUUAUUGUUAUUUUAGAAUGAGGUAGCUAGGAUAUUCGGAAACCAAAAUGUCUAAAUUAGCUUGAAGCCUAUAACUCAGUGAGUGAAAAAACUUAAAUUUUUGUAAAGUAUUUAUGGAUUAAGUAUAUUAGUAAAGCAUGUGUAAUUAUGUGUUCGAUUUGAUGAUUAUUACAUAAAUCUCUUUUAUUAUGACACGUGUAGAAUUUCAAAGAUUACUUAUGGUACAUUUAUAACUUGGUAUGUGAGCAAAUGUGAUAUUGAGAUCGACCAGAAAAGUACCCUUAAUUGUGUAUUUCUUCUUGUUCACAGAGAGGCCUUGGCCAUAUUUUAUCCUACACAGAGGGGUUUUGACCGUGUACAUAUAGUUUCACAGAGGGGCUUUGGCUGUGUUCUAAAAUUGAUUACCAGAGGUCUUGAGACCCGCUUUCGUUUGCUGAAGGGGCCAAAGGCCCAUGGCAAAAGUGUUUGGCCCAAGGGACGGAUUUCAGAUUUUAGUCAAAAGGUACAUUUUUGUGGAUCACAUGUGAUGGGUAAUGAGAUGAUGGUAUACAUAUCAGCUGAUGACUAAAUCGUAAUUAUGAGAUGAUAUUUAUAGUAUUAUGAGAAUGCCUCACUUUUUGGCUAUAAUUAUACUAGUCUAUCAUGUGAAUAUUAAAUGAUAUGAACUUGAUAUUUGGUAAAAAUGUUUAACGGAGAAAGUAUAAUUAUUUUUGAACUCUUUCAC